UACGAAGGGGGCUAGCGUUGUUCGGAAUCACUGGGCGUAAAGCGCACGUAGGCGGAUCUUUAAGUCAGAAGUGAAAUCCUGGAGCUCAACUCCAGAACUGCCUUUGAUACUGGGGAUCUCGAGUCCGGGAGAGGUGAGUGGAACUGCGAGUGUAGAGGUGAAAUUCGUAGAUAUUCGCAAGAACACCAGUGGCGAAGGCGGCUCACUGGCCCGGUACUGACGCUGAGGUGCGAAAGCGUGGGGAGCAAACAGG
rnacentral:rRNA from 1 species